CCUUCCUAGAGUAAACAGCUUAUGGAAGCAUGCGCAACUAGAAUUGUUAUCUGGCUCAAAGCUGCCCCUAAGCACACACCAUUUUAGCAAACACCAUUUUAAAGUCCUUAUCAGGGCAAGGGGGACUUGAUUUUCUUCAGUGCUUUGAGACAGAUAGGGAAAAGGAGAUAAAAUCAACAUGAAACCAAACAAUUUCUUGGAAGAGAAACAGAUCAGGAAUCUUACGAUUCUCACGAGCUGAACUGCUCCCCUGCCAUCCCAAACUCAUACACUGAAGCCCUAACCCCCAACAUGACUGCAUCUGGAGAUGGGGCCUUUAUGGUCAUAAUUAAGGAUAAAUGAGGUCAUAAUGGGGGAGCCCUAAUCCAAUAGGACUGGUGUCCUUAUGAAAAGGGGAAAUCUGGACACAGCACACGGUGAGGAGACUAUGUGAACACGAAGAAGCCUACUGAGAUGGUUAAUAUUGAGUGUCAAUGUGAUUGGAUUGAAGGAUGCAAGGUGCUGUUCCUGGGUGUGUCUGUGCGGGUGUUUCCAAAGGAGGUUAACAUUUAAGUCAGCGGAUGAAGAGAGACAGACCCACCCUCAAUUUGGGUUGGUACCAUCUAAUCAGCUGCCAGCGAGCCAAGAGAAAAGCAGGCAGGAGAAGAUGGAACAACACACUUGCUGAGUCUUCCGGCCUUUAUCUUUCUCCCAUGCUGGAUCCUUCCUGCCCUGGAACAUCGGACUCCAAGUUCUUCAGCUUUUGGACUCUUGGACUUACACCAGUGGUUUGCCAGGGGCUCUUGGGGCCUUUGACCACAGCCUGAAGGCUACACUAUCGGCUUCUCUAUUUUUGAGAGAACCCUAAUACACUCAUCUACAAGCCAAGGAGAGAGGCCUGUAACAGGUAUCUCCUCCCAGUCCUCAGAAGGAACCAACCCUGCCAACACCUUGACUUCAACCUUCUGGCCUACAGAACUAUGAGACAAUAAAUUUUGUUGUUUAAGCUACCCAAUUUGUGGUGCUUUGUUACAGCAGCUCUAGCAAACUAAUAGACUUAACUUCUGUGAACCUCAAUUUCC
rnacentral:lncRNA from 1 species